UUUUCGGAGAGUUUGAUCCUGGCUCAGAGUGAACGCUGGCGGCGUGGAUUAGGCAUGCAAGUCGAGCGAUCCCCGCAAGGGGAUAGCGGCAAACGGGUUAGUAACACGUGAGGAAUUUGCCUCGAAGUCGAACACAGCUCCGUGAAAACGGAGGUAAUAUUCGAUGGUGUCCUGUCAUCGCAUGGUGACAGGAUUAAAGAUGGGGACCGCAAGGCCUAUCACUUCGGGAUGACCUCGCGUCCUAUCAGCUAGUUGGUGGGGUAAUGGCCUACCAAGGCUUUUGACGGGUAGCUGGUCUGAGAGGACGAUCAGCAACACUGGGACUGAGACACUGCCCAGACUCCUACGGGAGGCU
rfam:Omnitrophica WOR_2 bacterium GWA2_53_43 gwa2_scaffold_4945, whole genome shotgun sequence.